GGGAAGGGCAUCUUUGAUCAGGAUGAGGUUGUUUGUUCCUCCAAAGGUUCAUAUUGUGAUCCAGGCUUUGCCCAUUUGGUCCAGGAGGUUGAAAGAGAGAAUGCAAUUAAUCUCAGCAGUAAACACAUUGAAGUCAAAACGGUCUCCAAAUGGAGGCACACACGUUUGCCUACUUCCUUUUUGUUCAUAAGGAGCACUUAGUUCCCAGAAGGGGACAAAGUCCUGGUAAUCCAUUCUUGUUAGGAGUGCUUGUUCCUACACUGUGUUAAUACCCACUUGUCUCCAUUAUCAUGAAGGAUGUGUGCUCAUAAAAAUUUAAUGAAGAUCUGCCUGUCCAUAAACCUCACAAAAACACAGCUUUUUCUUAUUCUAUUCAGG
rnacentral:lncRNA from 1 species